rfam:Togninia minima TCRPA7 unplaced genomic scaffold PA7_03_scaffold_110, whole genome shotgun sequence.
ACGUACGACCAUACCCAGCAGAGAAUUCGGCAUCCCGUCCGCUCUGCCACUUGACAAGCUGCUGAGGGCCGGACUAGUAGUUGGGUCGGUGACGACCAGCGAAUCCCUGGUGUUGUACGUU